UACGUAGGGCGCAAGCGUUGUCCGGAAUUAUUGGGCGUAAAGAGCUCGUAGGUGGCCUGUUGCGUCCGCUGUGAAAUCCCGGGGCUUAACCCCGGGCUUGCAGUGGAUACGGGCAGGCUGGAGGCAGGCAGGGGAGAACGGAAUUCCCGGUGUAGCGGUGAAAUGCGCAGAUAUCGGGAGGAACACCGGUGGCGAAGGCGGUUCUCUGGGCCUGUACUGACGCUGAGGAGCGAAAGCGUGGGGAGCGAACAGG
rnacentral:rRNA from 1 species